rnacentral:rRNA from 1 species
AUUGAACGCUGGCGGCAGGCCUAACACAUGCAAGUCGAACGGUAACGGGCCUUCGGCUUCCGACUAGGGGCGAACAGGGGAGGAAGAGAGCGGAACAUGCCCGAACGUGGGGGAUAACGAGGCGAAAGGUUGGCUAAUAUACCCUACGAUCGACGAAGAAAAGCGGGGGAAAGCAGGGGAUUUCGGGGACUGGCCGGCCGGUGGGAGCUGAGGUCGGUUUAGCUAGAUGGGGGGAUAAAGGCCAACCAAGGCGACGAUCCGUAGCUGGUGUGAGAGGAUGAUCAGCCACACUGGGACUGAGACACGGCCCAGACUCCUACGGGAGGCAGCAGUGGGGAAUUUUGGACAAUGGGCGCAAGCCUGAUCCAGCCAUGCCGCGUGCAGGAUGAAGGCCUUCGGGUUGUAAACUGCUUUUGUACGGAACGAAAAGCAUUCUUUUAAUACAGGAGGGUCAUGACGGUACCGUAAGAAUAAGCACCGGCUAACUACGUG